CCACGACUGAACUAUCUAACUAACGUGACCGAAACUUAUCGUCCCCGACUUCGCUACCGGGCUGUCCACUUACAACGAAUACUGGAAUGGGUCAAGGACGGCAUAGUUAAACCUUGGAAAGAGAUCCAACAAGCUCAAUCUGGUGGCUCACUGAAAGCAUUGACAUGGAUAAACCCAACAACUGGAAGAUGGAUAUUGCACCAUUAACCACUGGUGAGGGCCACCUUAGAGGUAUGGCACAGAACGGCCCCACGGGUAGAACUUUCUUCCUUUCCUUCCCCUCUAUACCCGAUCACGAACAAUCCAGAACACAGCCCAGGCAUGAACCCAAGGGCAUUCACAUGCCUGACCUCAAUGACACACGUACAAGUUAGACACAUGAUCCUGAACAGCAUCCCACAGAAACCCGACCUUAGCAGUGCCUUGACCUCAUUCAAAUGCAUUGGGACAGGUAAGGACCCACUUUUACACGCUAUCUCCCACCUAUACACUCUGCUCCUACACAAUAGGAACCUCCCACCACCUCCCUACAUGGGUAAAUUGGAGACUAUGACGGGUGACACGUUCACAGAAGAACAAUGGGGCAAAACAUGCGACCUCACACAUCACUGCGCACUGGCAAGUAAAACCCAAGAGACCGCAUACAAGGUUUUGACUCCGUGGUAUAGAACGCCGCACACAUUGCAGAAAAUGAUAACGGACCUGAGCGAAAAGUGCUUGCGAUGCCACACUGGAGCCAGCUCAUUUCUGCAUAUAUGGUGGGAAUACCCA